AAGAUGAGAUCUGCCGGGGCCUUGAGCCCCCUAAAGAGUCGUUCAAGACCAGGACGUUGAUAGGUCAGGUGUGGAAGCGCAGUAAUGCGUUAAGCUAACUGAUACUAAUUGCUCGUGCGGCUUGACCCU
rnacentral:rRNA from 1 species